ensembl:snRNA U1 U1 spliceosomal RNA
UAACCUGCCCGGCACCGGAUAUACCAUGAUCACGAAGGUGGCUCACCCAGGGUGAGGCCCAGCCGUUGCACUGGGGCUGUGCUGACCCCUGCGAAUUCCCCAAAUGUGGGAAUAUCGACUGCAUCAUUUCUGGUAGUGGGGGGCCGCGUUCGCGCUCUCCCCUG